rnacentral:rRNA from 1 species
GUCUCCAGCCAUACCCACCUGAACCUGCCUGAUCUCAUCUGACCUCAGAAGCUAAGCAGGGUUGGGUCUGGUUAGCACUUGGAUGGGAGACCACCUGGGUGCUGUAGGCUUAAAACA